rnacentral:lncRNA from 1 species
AGAUUUGAUCUAGAGUAUUUGAAGAUCUAGAAAAUAAAUUUUGCGAUUUUUCGAUACCAUUUUCCUAGUGAUCGAAGCGGCUCAAAAUCAACGGCUGAAAAUAAAAAUCUUACAAAAUAUGAUGAUAUGACAUUAAAAUUUUAGAUCAAAGUUAUUGAUCUUGUUUUAUAUGGUAUAAAGAAUUUUCUAUCAAAAUUUUAUGUGAUUUGGAUAUUUCUACACGGUUAAACUUGCAACCGGCUCACCACGGCCGUUAAAAUUAUUGAUUUUGAGCCCCUUCGAUCACUAGGCAAAUGAUAUCGAAAAAUCACAAAAUUUAUUUUCUAGAUACUUCAAAUACUCUAGAUAAAGUCUAACGGAGCCGAUCGUCGAUUCGAAAGUCUGAACAUCGAAAACAAAGUGGAAGCACGGAGCCCUCCGUGCUUCCAUAAGCAUACCAGCACAACUCGGGUAAUUUGAUAUUUACUCUUCUUAUUAGUUAGAUAGAGUCCAGCUAUUGUGCUUGUAAAAGCACCAAGCACUUGGUGCUUGUAAGUUUUUUACCGUCAGAUCUACUCUUCGGAUCAUUUUCAACCAUUAGAUUAUACUAUUCAACCAACCACCCACUAAAUUCUAGGGGGCCCACAUCAUCUUAACCGCAUAUCUUUUAAUCCAAUGGCUAAAAAUCUAUAAGGACUAAUAACUUGGUACUUUUAAAAGCAUAUAUAGGAGCUCAAUUCUAGUUAGAUAUCAUAUCAAACAAUUAAUU